GAUGAACGCUGGCGGCGUGCCUAAUACAUGCAAGUCGAGCGAACAGACGAGGAGCUUGCUCCUCUGACGUUAGCGGCGGACGGGUGAGUAACACGUGGAUAACCUACCUAUAAGACUGGGAUAACUUCGGGAAACCGGAGCUAAUACCGGAUAAUAUAUUGAACCGCAUGGUUCAAUAGUGAAAGAUGGUUUUGCUGUCACUUAUAGAUGGAUCCGCGCCGCAUUAGCUAGUUGGUAAGGUAACGGCUUACCAAGGCAACGAUGCGUAGCCGACCUGAGAGGGUGAUCGGCCACACUGGAACUGAGACACGGUCCAGACUCCUACGGGAGGCAGCAGUAGGGAAUAUUCCGCAAUGGGCGAAAGCCUGACGGAGCAAAGCCGCGUGAGUGAUGAAGGUCUUCGGAUCGUAAAACUCUGUUAUUAGGGAAGAACAACUGCGUAAGUAACUAUGCACGUCUUGACGGUACCUAAUCAGAAAGCCACGGCUAGCUACGUG
rnacentral:rRNA from 1 species